UACAGAGGUGGCAAGCGUUGUUCGGAAUUACUGGGCGUAAAGGGCGAGUAGGUGGCCAUCUAAGUCAGACGUGAAAUCCCCCGGCUUAACCUGGGAACUGCGUCUGAUACUGGACGGCUUGAGUAUGGGAGAGGAACGUAGAAUUCCAGGUGUAGCGGUGAAAUGCGUAGAUAUCUGGAGGAACACCGGUGGCGAAGGCGGGUCUCUGGGCCGAUACUGACGCUGAGGAGCGAAAGCGUGGGGAGCGAACAGG
rnacentral:rRNA from 1 species